rnacentral:rRNA from 1 species
UACGUAGGGGGCAAGCGUUGUCCGGAUUUAUUGGGCGUAAAGAGCGUGUAGGCGGCCAUGCAGGUCCGUUGUGAAAACUCGAGGCUCAACCUCGAGACGUCGAUGGAAGCCGCACGGCUAGAGUCCGGAAGAGGAGAGUGGAAUUCCUGGUGUAGCGGUGAAAUGCGCAGAUAUCAGGAAGAACACCCGUGGCGAAGGCGGCUCUCUGGGACGGUACUGACGCUGAGACGCGAAAGCGUGGGGAGCGAACAGG